rnacentral:tRNA from 1 species
GGGCCUGUGGCUCAUUGGUAGAGCGGGUGUCUUAUAAACACCAGGUACUUGGUCCGAUUCCAAGCAGGCCCA